AGGGGAGACCCGGCCGUGAGGGGACUGUGGGGACAGGGGAGACCCGACCGUGAGGCGAGUGCGGGGGAAGCCAGUGAGCCCCAAGGAGCCCGGCCGUGCGGGGAGUUCCCGUGAACCCCGGAGAUAGGGGCUGUGACCUGUCGUGGCAGUGGAGCACACACGACAACCGGCCUGCUGCUCCAGAGGGGAUGACAGCUUCUGACCCAUCCGGCAGCAACUGAGGGGCCAUCCUGGACAGAGAGCCAGUCCUGCUCCACUGGGAAACCACUGAGCCGAAUCUCACCUCCAGACUCUCCUGGGCUUAAACAGGCUAGCUCUUGGAGAGGUUACAAAGUCCUUCCUUUCAUAGAAUACCCGAGCCCCUCAGGAGCAGUGUCCUGCCUGUCCGACAGCCUCAGUCAGAUUUAGCACAAGUGAAAGCCAAGCUUUUCCUCAGGGUUUAGGUGCCCUACCGUGGGCUGGAUUUGUGUUCAGCCUUUGAUGGAGGUGACUCCCAGAAUCAACGUGAGCUAUGUGCAUCCCUCUGCCUGCCCUCACUCUGCAGUCCUGGUGAGACAAGACUGAAGUCACAGCCCGUGGGUGGUGGUGGCUCUUCUACAUGACAGAACAUUUCUGCUCGGCCGCCUGCUUCAUUUCAGUAAAGGUGGCUUGUGCCUUUUCUUUGAUCUGAUCCAUGUCCAUGUUCUGGAUGUUCUGCAGCUGUCCCAGGAUGGAGUCCUUGUCCUCUUCCUCCUCCUGAUCUUGUGCCACCAUCUUCUGCAGGUCUUCUGGCAAACCCACGUCAUCUCCAGCCAUCUGUAUUUGAUUCUCAUCCAAUUCACUCUGAUACAAAAAGCAGAAAAUAAAAACAGCACAUGAGAGUAUUUCUGCUCUCCCAGGAUCUAC